GUUUGAUCUCCUCAUCCCUGUGCUCGUCACAGGGAUGAGAGUGAGAGA
rnacentral:sRNA from 1 species